AGAGUUUGAUCCUGGCUCAGAACGAACGCCGGCGGCGCGCCUAACACAUGCAAGUCGAACGAGAGGCUCUUCGGAGUAGUAAAGUGGCAAACGGGUGAGGAAUGCAUGGGUAACCUACCCUUGAGAAGGGAAUAACCCGCCGAAAGGUGAGCUAAUACCCUAUACGCUACACUUUCUAUGGGAGGUGUAGGAAAGCUAAGCCGUGGGUUUGGCACUCAAGGAGGGGCUCAUGUCCUAUCAGCUUGUUGGUAGGGUAACGGCCUACCAAGGCAACGACGGGUAGCUGGUCUGAGAGGAUGAUCAGCCACACUGGCACUGAGAUACGGGCCAGACUCCUACGGGAGGCAGCAGUGAGGAAUAUUGCGCAAUGGGCGAAAGCCUGACGCAGCGACGCCGCGUGGGGGAUGAAGGUUCUCGGAUUGUAAACCCCUUUUGUGAGGAAAGAGAAAGUGGGUAACCACUUAGACGGUACCUCAAGAAAAAGCCACGGCUAACUUCGUGCCAGCAGCCGCGGUAAUACGAAGGUGGCGAGCGUUGUUCGGAUUUACUGGGCGUAAAGAGCACGUAGGCGGUUGGGUAAGCCUCUUGGGAAAGCUCCCGGCUUAACCGGGAAAGGUCGAGAGGAACUACUCAGCUAGAGGACGGGAGAGGAGCGCGGAAUUCCCGGUGUAGCGGUGAAAUGCGUAGAUAUCGGGAAGA
rnacentral:rRNA from 1 species